rnacentral:rRNA from 1 species
UUAUCCGUAUUCAUUGGGUUUAAAGGGUACGUAGGUGGCCCAGUAAGUCAGUGGUGAAAUCCUGCCGCUUAACGGUAGAACUGCCAUUGAUACUGCUGGGCUUGAGUACAGUUGAGGUAGGCGGAAUGUGUAGUGUAGCGGUGAAAUGCUUAGAUAUUACACAGAACCCCGAUUGCGAAGGCAGCUUACUAAACUGUAACUGACACUGAGGUACGAAAGCGUGGGGAGCGAACAGGAUUAGAUACCCUGGUAGUCCACGCCGUAAACGAUGCUCACUCGCUGUAUGCGAUACACAGUAUGCGGCCAAGCGAAAGUAUUAAGUGAGCC